rnacentral:rRNA from 1 species
CCUACGGGAGCAGCAGUGAGGAAUAUUGGACAAUGGGCGCAAGCCUGAUCCAGCCAUGCCGCGUGCAGGAAGAGGCAUCUAUGGUGUGUAAACUGCUUUUGUACAGGAAGAAACACUCCCUCGUGAGGGAGCUUGGCGGUACUGUAAGAAUAAGGACCGGCUAACUCCGUGCCAGCAGCCGCGGUAAUACGGAGGGUCCGAGCGUUAUCCGGAAUCAUUGGGUUUAAAGGGUCCGUAGGCGGUUUAAUAAGUCAGUGGUGAAAUCUGGUCGCUCAACGAUCAAACGGCCAUUGAUACUGUUAGACUUGAAUUAUAAGGAAGUAACUAGAAUAUGUAGUGUAGCGGUGAAAUGCUUAGAUAUUACAUGGAAUACCAAUUGCGAAGGCGGGUUACUACUUAUGGAUUGACGCUGAUGGACGAAAGCGUGGGGAGCGAACAGGAUUAGAUACCCUGGUAGUCCACGCCGUAAACGAUGGAUACUAGCUGUUCGGAGCAUACUGAGUGGUCGUAGACGAAGUAGAGUAAGUAAGUACCGUACCGUACGGGGUAGGUACGGUUACGGUCGUAGAAGUUAGUUAAACGUUAAAAGGUUAAAGUUAGUACGGCGUUGAGACGUUAGCGACGGACGACGACGAGGGAGGAGG